UACGGAGGGUGCGAGCGUUGUCCGGAAUCAUUGGGCGUAAAGGGCGCGUAGGUGGCUUCUUAAGCGUGCGGUGAAAGCCUGGGGCUCAACCCCGGGUCGGCCGUGCGAACUGGGGGGCUGGAGCACUGUAGAGGCAGGCGGAAUUCCGGGUGUAGCGGUGGAAUGCGUAGAGAUCCGGAAGAACACCGGUGGCGAAGGCGGUGAGCUGGGCAGUUGCUGACACUGAGGCGCGACAGCGUGGGGAGCAAACAGG
rnacentral:rRNA from 1 species